rnacentral:rRNA from 1 species
GACAGAGGCCCCAAGCGUUAGGCGGAAUCACUGGGCUUAAAGCGUGUGUAGGCGGCCGCCUAAGUGUCUUGUGAAAUCCCACGGCUCACCCGUGGAACUGCGGGGCAUACUGGGCGUCUUGGGCCAACUAGGGGCAGCCGGAACAAGCGGUGGAGCGGUGAAAUGCGUAGAUAUCGCUUGGAACGCCGAAGGUGAAAACAGGCUGCUGGGGUUGUGCCGACGCUGAGACACGAAAGCCAGGGGAGCAAACGGG